AUUAUUGCCCUCAGUUGCCGCUGCCUUAUUGUCUGAAAUGUGAGCAGAGCUCAAAGGUUUGGAGAAAUUGUUAUGGACUUCACUUAAAUUUAGUAAUGAAAUGAAAAAAUGCUAGAUAAGACAUGAUAUGGCAACAUCGCAGAAGCUGCUCUGUGGCAGGGUGGAGAAUAGCUCCUGGCAGAGGAGGAAGAAGAAGGACAAUUUUUUGGAGAAUGAGGCAGGGAAAAGUUUGCUUGAACAGCUGGGGCUGUUGAGCAUCAAGAUGACGGAAGGAUGUCAUGGAGGCAGAAGCAGGCGGAGGAGAGACAAAGCCAAAUCCUCAGCUAACAUUGCUGGGUAUUUUUAGGAGUGCUUCCUGAGAGUGCUUUCUGUAUAUAAACAGUUGAGCUUCCAGGAGGCAGUGGUGAGGGAGAGCAGUGUGACUCAAUGAUACUUGUACUGCAAAUAGUACAUUGCAAAGAGCAAACUGUUUGACUUUAUUAAACUGCAGCCUCCUGCAACAGAUCAAGGGUCUAGUUUCUAAGCAAAAUAAUUGUAGCCUAAAGAAAACUUAAAUGUUGAAAGUCCCAUAGGCCCUAGAUUCCUGUUUGACUUGGCUUCAGGAACUGUUUAAAUCUUAGACUACGAAGUAGAUUUGCAAAGCACAAGCUGUUUUGAAGCCCCUUUUCACAGUAACACAUAGCAUUGUUAUCAGAAAAAUACAGGACAAAAGACAAUGGGAGGAGGAUCAAGUCUGACGAGUGGGCUUGACAGUGCUUUGCAAUUCUGGUGGGGCUGGCAGGAGCUGGGCAGAUCUGGUCUAGGCAUCAGAGCAAUGCAGGAGAAUGUUGCCUGGGCUUGGUGGGCAGUGCCAAGGUUAAAGUGGAAUCGGAGCCAUGGGCUAACUUGGAACAGGGCAGUGUAAUGCAGAACUGGGGUCUGCCCGACACUGUUUCCCUCCACCCUUUUUACAGCCAUGGGAGGUUGUUUAGAGUGCUGUACCCAAAGAGCAGUCCUGUGUGUGCUGAAAGCAAAAGCUAUGGAUGAAGAUGCUGCCAUAGGAGAGCCAUCCUUGCUGCAGCAACUCCAAAGCUACCUGUGCAGGGAGAAACGAAUCAAUGCACCCACGAGAAAAAGGCUGACACUCUUAGCUGUUGCCACUACACAUGGGUCAGACCCUCGUCUCUUAGCAGUGGCUGUAAAUGGGUGAAGUGACACCGAACCCCUGGUGGCAUCCUGCAUGUGACCAGCGCCUGAAGCACGUCUGCUCCGUGGGCUGACUGUGGUGGGCGAUUGCAGCCGUUCCAUCAGCCCCUGGCAGGACGCAGCUGAGAGGUCCCAGCCCUCAGGCUGGGAUUCCUGGGUGGCUGCUGGAGCACAGCCAUGGAGAGCAGCACUCACAGAGCUCCCCUGCCGUGUGGUAGGCAAGGAGGUUAUAACCACAUCUUCUGCGCCACAGAAUCCGUGCCAUGAGCUGUCAUCUUCCAACUCUGUCUUCCCCACCCCCAUCUGAUUUAACAUACAGUGCAAAAAGAAGCUGGACUGGUCCCACAUUAGGGGACCAUGUUGCAACCUCCUCUCUGAGCAUGAAACAGGAUCCCUUAGGAAUAAUGGGAUUAACUGAGGAGAAGUAGGGCCACUUAGCUUCUGGCAUUAUUAAAUCUUGCAAUUAUUUUUUGAAAUUUUGCACCACACAUCUCAAGCUACUUUUUGCAGAGACAGACAAUAACUGUCAUCUGUCUGGGAUUUGUGCAGAACAAUAAUACUUGGUUUUUAACAGCGGAUUAUGGAUAUUCUAUCCAGCUCAUGCCUGCUGUAACUCUACUAACAUCAAAGGGUUUGCACUAGGGAUAAAGUUUGCACAUUCAACUUUGUUAGCCAAAUUCAAGUUAGGAAAUUCAAUGUUGUUGAACAAGAUCAGUCAUUAAAACACAUAAUAACUUAUUGUCCUUUUGCUAAUCAUCAUUAAAUGAGCUAAAUGUCCUAAACUAGCCCUUGCUUUCUUGGAGGAUGGAUUCAAUUUGGCUUAAGAUGAGGCUCCAGAUCUGUCACCCAUAGUCAAUGUUCCCUCUGCCCUCAUUCCAUUGGAUCCAGCUGAAGUAUUCUGCUCAGCAGGAGAGCUCAGCUGGGCUAAUGGGCCCUAGGGGUUUGUUCUACUAUUUUCUCAUCUCCUGUUAGGUUUUAGCCAGGUGCAGAAUCCACUGCCUAUUUCCUGAUUAAUCCAGUAUCUGUUUUGUCACAGCUGAAAAUAGCAAGAAGCCUACAGAGAGCUUUAAAUAGUGGCAAGUCAGAGCAGGUAAGAGCUGUCAUCUGCUGCAGAGUGGGAGGUCAGACUGAUGUAUGUAAUGCACCUACAGUGGAGUCAAGCAAGAAGACCCUUUUCUCCAAAGUUAAGCAGCUUUCAUAACUCCCACCAACAAGAAGGUGGCUAGGAGAGCCUAGCUUUUCAUUUGCUCUAUUGAAGUGGAGGAAGGGAAAUUACUUUGAGAGAGUCUGCCAUUUCAAGAUUUUAAUGGGUGGUUUUAACCUGCCUGUUUUAAACAUGUUCAGAGGUCAAUAAAAGGCAAAUCUCUCUACUUGGGAAUCUUUCUCUCAGCACAGUCUUAGUUUAAUAGUUUUCAUGCCAUGCUUUCAUGAAGUUCUCUUUCCCUUCUCCUUCUGUUAGACUUCACAAAACCCUGCUGAUUUACUUUAGGCUUAGCUGCACUCCAGAGAAAUGCAAAUUGCACAGGUGGCCAUUCAAAGGUUCAAGAUUGAUAUUCAAGGUGUUGUCCUUUGAGGCUGAGCAUGAGGGAGAAGGCUAGUACUUUCCCAACUCCAUGUUUUUCCUUGAAGGAAAGGGGACAGAUUGUGCAUCUGUUCCCUCUUGUCUGAACCUUCCCAAACAGCUUUGUUACAAGGGCAAAGAAACUGCUGGGCUGUUCUGAAGGAACGGCAGUCAAGGAAGUAGGGAUCAUAAAACAAUGCUAAUGUGGACUGGCUGCAAUAGUAGUGCACACACUAAUUCCUGCAACAAAGACAAUGAAGGAAGUCAGAGUGCAAUGCAGCCACUGACCACUGUGACAGGAACAGCUCCCAAGUAGGAGGAAGUCUCUUCUUCCUUUUGCUCACACUCUGGCACCUGAGUUUCAAGAAACUGCCUUAAAAGCAAACUCCUUACAUCAUCAAAGAUAAUAUUCUGUUCAGCUAAGGUAGGAAUCUGGAAUAAAUCUGUCUAUGCUGUUUUCUGGACUUGUGGUGUAAAGCAUCAGAUUUCUUUUUCAAGCAUGAAGGAAAUUACAGUUCUUAUCUAAUUCUAAUGAGUACUUGAUUCUUAGUUUUAAAUACAUUUGUACCUCAUACAGUCUUAACUUUGACUUCUCCUCUUAGAUAAAAAGGAUAAUAUAUUUAUGUUAAAGAAAAAAUUGAUGUUGAAUUUGCUUGUAACAGUUAAGUAGCAGUCUUAAAUGACUUCUCAACCAAGCAGUAGUACCUUGUUACACCCUGUAUUUAAUAUGGACAGGCCUCUUGCCACCUGGUAUAUUUUGUUUGUUGUUCAAUUUCACUGCUUAUAAUAAACACCACUUUUUUUCUUCUUCUAAAUGAUGUGAAUAACAAUCCUGUCCCUGUCUCAUCCCUGUACAGGUCAUGGGUAUUUCGCUGCUAAAUUUCUGUACCUCAGGAAAUUAUGCUUCCAGAACAUCUUGUUUAUGUAUUUUCUAAACUGUUGCUCUUUCCUCAAAAUGAUCAAUGUCAGCAACAGCUGGACAGCGUAUGAUUAAAUUUCACCUUGUCUCCAUUCCCAGAACUCUACUUCCAUAUGGAGUUCAGUAAAGCAAUACUUAAAGCAUGGGAGCAGGGAUAAAUAUGCCUUGAGCUGUAACUUGUUCUGCAUUCAUAAUUUAGUAUUUUGGCAUGCGUUUUGCAAAGCACUAGUUUUGUUUGCUAUUGUGGCUUCUACAAUUCAUCUGCUGUUUUCUGUCUUUUGUCGAUUGAUUUGGAAUUUCGCUAUUACACAUACAUGAACAGAUUUGGGAUCCUACCUUUCUCUGGAGCACUGCCAAUAAUGACUUCAAUUGCAAAUAGCGUAUGCUGUCAUAAAAAUGGGUGAAAAUCCAAAUUCCCCAAAUGCAGCCCAAAGUUGCACAUGGGCAAAUAUUUUCCUGCAGAACAGAACAAGCCCUCCAAAGAGCAGGAAAUGCACAGGUACCUAGCAGAAGGUACACUGUUUGCAGUUACUGUGACUCCCCUUCCUGGCUAGUAGGAUGUGGAUCAGAUCUACCAAUGCAUACAAUUAAGCUGGGUAGUUAGUACUUUAGGAACCUGAUUGCAAUUGAAGCUCACCAUGAUGCAAGCAAAAUGGUUUGCUGAGUAUACAACUGUUCUCUUAUUAAAUCACUUACUUUUGAGUAGUAUCUGUACAGUUUUGUGGCACAGUGAUGACUUCCUUUUGUGAAGGCUUGACCUUAGUAGUAAUGAUCUCCCAUUGGGCCCAAGCCUCUGCUGUUGCACCUGGCAUGUAUUCAGUGAAUCUGAAGAUUCUGUGGGUUGUCUUCCAAUUUAAAAGUUAUACUUUUUCUAGAAACAGCAUGACAUUAUUCCAGACUGGUGAUGUUGCUUGAUCUCCCUUCUAUAGAACUGCUUUCUAGCAAGUUCUUCCCUAUUCUGUUUGUAGGACUUGCACAGACCAUAGCAUUACAGUUGAAUCUUCUUACUCAAAUAUGAUAUUUGCCCUUGUCUUUUAUUUUAAAUCCCAUCACUAAUUUGAAAAUAUCAAAUAAUGUGCCUCUUCCCAGGUCAGUGUGUCUCUGUAGGUAAUGAAGGAUACUUGCUGUUUUGUCUUUUGCAGAUGAAUAACACUAGGCAUAGGAAGAACCCUUUUAAAAGCCUGUUUAGUGCAUCCUUGCCUCUUUCAGUGAAACAGGAGAACUACCACUAGGAGUUCAGGAGGCAAGUAGAAUGCUGCUUUGUUUUGGUAUCUCCAUUCCUACCCACAUGCAGUAAUCCACAGGCAAGUCAUUGUAGAACUUGGGCCCAGUGUUGAUGCGAAACCUCCCGGCAGCAGCGUUCACAACGUGGGAGAUGCCCAAGCAGCUCAGCUGGGCCUUGUCACGAGCAACGUACCUGGAAGAAAGAUGGGGGAUUAUAUUUGCCUGCUCCACUGCAACACAGGGAAGAAUGUGCUGCUGAUGGGGAGUUUGUUACAACUGCAGGAAGUGGUAGUGGCUAUUUUUUUUUUGACAGGUUGAUCAGGUUCAAAGUGUUCAUCAGAAUGCUUUAAGAUAGAAGUGACUUGUUAAGAAACUAACUCUUAGAUUUCCCUCAGUUUUUUCCCAAACAUAUGUUUAGAUGGUUCUCAACUGAUGAAAGGUGGUGGUGGAGACAUGACUGCACCAGCUAAGGGUUUUUUGAUUUCAAAGACUUUCUCACCAAGUCACCUCUGCUGAGUAUUCAUCAGUUCAGAGGUCUGAUGCCAUCUGGCAAAGUGAGGAGAAAAUGAGCUGGAUCCUGUUUUACCCAGGAUAAAACAGGCACUUCUGGCAUGACUGCCUGAAGUAGCAAUGCCACAGCUCCAGUGGGCUGUUGCAGUGUGUCACUCCUGCACUAAUGCAGGAGGAGAAACCAGGAGGCAGGGGAUAUUCUUUUUAGCCAGUUAGGAUGCAUUUUCUCUAUGCUACAGCACCCUAUGCACAGUUCAAUCUUGUUCAACACUUAGAUCUGUUGUGAAAGGUUCCAGAUUACUGCCUAGCUCUCUGUUUUUAAAUAAAGAGCGGAAGAUUUGGGGGAAGAGUUGCAAUAACCUUCAGCCCUUCCUGUCUCUUACAGGUCUCCCACAUAAAGGUUUGGCCAGACUUCAUCCACAUGCCCUGUGGGGGGUGUCUAUGUGCAGAGCAGGUGCCGCAGCUCCUCCAGGAAUGGUGUCCCGGUGCUGCUCCCACUGUCACUUGAGGCACUUCUUAUCCUAGGUUGCUGUAAGUCCUGGCUGCACAAGGUGUCCCAGGCCAUUCUGAAAGGGGAGAGAAGAUACUCACCACCAGCUGGAGAUAUUUCUGACAGGCAGAUGUGUGCCAUGCGUACCAGAUUGUACACCCAAAUGGAAUUCCAGAUGAGCAGAUCAUUGUCAUGAUGUAUGAUGACAUUGCUGAUAAUAAGGAAAAUCCAACGAAAAGCAUUGUCAUCAAUAGACUUAAUGGCUCAGAUGUGUAUGCUGGAGUGCCCAAAGACUAUACAAAGGAGGAUGUUACUCCUAAGAAUUUUCUUGCAGUUCUCAGAGGAGAUGGGGAAGCAGUGAAGGGGGUGGGAUCAGGAAAAGAAUUGAAAAGUAUGAGUAUGCACUGAGACAGCUGUAUGCCUUGGUCAACCUUUGUGCGAAGGAGGAUACCCCACUGACAGGUUAAGUAAUUCCCCACUAUCCAUCUCUGAAGUGCAAACAGUACAGCCUUAAUGUGCCCCAGGGAAAGGAAGCAAACCAGCCUUUGAAUCUUUACCCAACCUUACUGCUCAUAUUUUGCUUUCAGUGAGUUUCGUUUUUGAACUGCACAGGAUUUUAUUGAAAGUCUGUUUCACAUUUUCUCCAGUGUAACCAGCUGGACAGUCUCUCCUUUCCCAGGAUCAACUUGUGAACAUCAGCUGAGAGGAAGGAAACCCACAUCCAGUGUUUCAUGGCUAUUAUCUUAAAGAUAGAUCUGUAAGAAAUUUAAAUACAAGCCAGACUGGUUUAAAUAAAAUAGGCUUGGGGCUUUUUUUUUUUUUUUUUGUAGCAUCUUUUUCAGAGAGAGAUCCUCAGCCUGUAAGUCCAGCUGGAAAGCAAACUCGAAUUUCCCAAAUAUUGGAGUUC